rnacentral:rRNA from 1 species
GACGAACGCUGGCGGCGUGCUUAACACAUGCAAGUCGAACGGAAAGGCCCCUUUGGGGGUACUCGAGUGGCGAACGGGUGAGUAACACGUGAGUAACCUGCCCUUGACUUCGGGAUAACUUCAGGAAACUGGGGCUAAUACCGGAUAGGAAUCCUUUCUGCAUGGUGGGGGUUGGAAAGCUUCGGCGGUUUUGGAUGGACUCGCGGCUUAUCAGCUUGUUGGUGGGGUAGUGGCUUACCAAGGCUUUGACGGGUAGCCGGCCUGAGUGGGCGACCGGCCACAUUGGGACUGAGAUACGGCCCAGACUCCUACGGGAGGCAGCAGUGGGGAAUAUUGCAGAAUGGGCGGAGGCCUGAUGCAGCAACGCCGCGUGCGGGAUGACGGCCUUCGGGUUGUAAACCGCUUUCAGCAGGGGCGAAGCUUGUGGUGACGGUACCUGCAGAAGAAGCAACGGCUAACUACGUG